rnacentral:rRNA from 1 species
UACGUAGGGUGCAAGCGUUAAUCGGAAUUACUGGGCGUAAAGCGUGCGCAGGCGGUUGUGCAAGACAGAUGCGAAAUCCCCCGGGCUCAACCUGGGAAUUGCAUUUGUGACUGCACGGCUAGAGUGUGUCAGAGGGGGGGUAGAAUUCCACGUGUAGCAGUGAAAUGCGUAGAGAUGUGGAGGAAUACCGAUGGCGAAGGCAGCCCCCCUGGGGAUAACACUGACGCUCAUGCACGAAAGCGUGGGGGAGCAAACAGG